GCGGGAGUAGCUCAGUUGGUUAGAGCGUCGGCCUGUCACGCCGAAGGUCGCGGGUUCGAGCCCCGUCUCUCGCGCCA
rnacentral:tRNA from 4 species